rnacentral:rRNA from 1 species
GGGUUAACGUCCCGCAACGAGCGCAACCCUUUGUCAUUUAGUUGCUACAUUCAGUUGGGCACUCUAAUGAGACUGCCGGUGACAAGCCGGAGGAAGGUGGGGAUGACGUCAAGUCCUCAUGGCCCUUAUAGGUGGGGCUACACACGUCAUACAAUGGCUGGUACAAAGGGUUGCCAACCCGCGAGGGGGAGCUAAUCCCAUAAAGCCAGUCGUAGUCCGGAUCGUAGUCUGCAACUCGACUACGUGAAGUCGGAAUCGCUAGUAAUCGUGGAUCAGAAUGUCACGGUGAAUACGUUCCCGGGUCUU